GGUCACAUCACCAAGCCUGACAAAGCUCAAGAAGAUUUGGAUGAUACUCUCAGGCACAUGGUGUGACUCUUGGGGAUGACCCUGUGCAAGGCCAGGAACUGGACUCACUGGUCCUUGUGGGCCCCUUUCAACUCAGCUUAUUCUGUGAAUUAGAGAGAAAUAG